rnacentral:ncRNA from 1 species
UAAAGCGGUACGCGAGCUGGGUUCAGAACGUCGUGAGACAGUUCGGUCCCUAUCCGUCGUGGGCGCAGGAAAUUUGAGAGGCGCUGUCCUUAGUACGAGAGGACCGGGAUGGACAUACCCCUGGUGGACCAGUUGUCGUGCCAACGGCAUUGCUGGGUAGCUAUGUAUGGACGGGAUAAGUGCUGAAAGCAUCUAAGCAUGAAGCCCCCCUCAAGAUGAGAUUUCCCAACUUCGGUUAUAAGAUCCCUCAAAGAUGAUGAGGUUAAUAGGUUCGAGGUGGAAGCAUGGUGACAUGUGGAGCUGACGAAUACUAAUCGAUCGAAGACUUAAUCAA